rnacentral:tmRNA from 1 species
GGGGCUGAUCGGUUUCGACGUUGAACCGGAAGUCGGCACGUGCGACCCGAGUUGCUCAGACUCGUAAAACGGGGCACCCAAAGAGACGCCAAGACUGACGAUCUCGCCCUCGCCGUCUGAUCCUUCAGACGACAAGGGGAACCAGCGACCAGCAAUGGCACGCGGGGCCAAUCCAUCGCAGCCCGGCACCAGAAGCGAAGGAGGACGGUGGGAGAGACCACUGACGGUGCGAAAGAACACUGACAACUGGGGAAAGACCCGGCGGUAGGGCAUUCGCCCACCUGACCCGGCAGGGUGGUAGCCGCAAGGCCACAACGCGGGAAUGGUCGUAGCACGAACGAUGACCGCUCAGCGGACGAGGGUUCGAUUCCCUCCAGCUCCACCG